rnacentral:ncRNA from 1 species
GAGGAUCUGCUCCUAGUACGAGAGGACCAGAGUGGACGAACCUCUGGUGUACCGGUUGUGACGCCAGUCGCAUCGCCGGGUAGCUAUGUUCGGAAGGGAUAACCGCUGAAAGCAUCUAAGCGGGAAGCCUACCUCAAGAUAAGAUUUCCCCGAGGCUUUAUGCCUCCUAAAGAGCCGUUGAAGACUACGACGUUGAUAGGUUGGAUGUGGAAGCAUAGCGAUAUGUGAAGCUGACCAAUACUAAUUGCUCGUGAGGCUUGACUAU